rnacentral:rRNA from 1 species
UGGAUGAUGUGGUUUAAUCGAUGCAACGCGAAAACCUUACCACCUUGACAUGUACGGAAUUUGCCAGAGAUGGCUUAGUGCUCGAAAGAGAGCCGUAACACAGGUGCUGCAUGGCUGUCGUCAGCUCGUGUCGUGAGAUGUUGGGUUAAGUCCCGCAACGAGCGCAACCCUUGUCAUUAGUUGCUACAUUUAGUUGGGCACUCUAAUGAGACUGCCGGUGACAAACCGGAGGAAGGUGGGGAUGACGUCAAGUCCUCAUGGCCCUUAUAGGUGGGGCUACACACGUCAUACAAUGGCUGGUACAAAGGGUUGCCAACCCGCGAGGGGGAGCUAAUCCCAUAAAGCCAGUCGUAGUCCGGAUCGCAGUCUGCAACUCGACUGCGUGAAGUCGGAAUCGCUAGUAAUCGUGGAUCAGAAUGUCACGGUGAAUACGUUCCCGGGUCUU